GCGGCGUGCGUGUCUCCUCCUCCCCGAGUGACACAGCAGUGAGAAAUGCCUAUCAGUAACUUAAACCCCCGAAACUCCACCUUCCGGGCGCGCGGCGCGGAGCCCGGCGGUGGGAAUGGAGCGAGCAGAUUGAGGCCGCCACUGCCGCGUAGCCAGCAUGAACUUGGUCGUGAGCUGAAGCGGCCAGCGGCAGGCGGGUGCGGGGGCACGGGCCGCUAGCCACGGGGUGAUCUGCAACGGGGCUGGGCCACUCGGCGGGCGCCUGGGGUCAGGCUGCCCAAGCCGGCGGCCGCCCGCCCCUUGGGCACUGCCCCCGCCGCCUCCGGAGCUCUGCAGCACGCCCUGUGUCUAGGUCAUUUGGGAAACGCCUUGGAGAGUCAAGAAUAAAAUUGCAGGUCAAACAAUGGAUGACUGGAAAAGUCGGCUUGUAAUCAAGAGCAUGCUUCCCCAUUUCGCCAUGGUGGGAAAUCGUCAGGAGCCCAGAAAGCUCCAGGAAUCGUCACAGGGAGCCAUUAAAAGGAGGCAAGAAAGAGAUCACUUCCAGUUUCCAGGCAUGGCUGAUGGAGGUUAUCCUAAUAAGAUUAAGAGGCCCUGCCUUGAAGAUGUCACCCUUUCUGUGGGCUCAGGAGGCCAUCCUAGUACUUCCUGUGCAGAGCUGCAGAUGCCUCCGUUAACAAUGAACCCUAGCCCUGAGACUAUGGGAGUAGCUGGCCACUCCUUACUACCUGAGAAUAACCCUAUGAAUGGCAGUGUUAUGGAUGCCCCAUUUGUGGUGCCACCAACUACGGAGAUGGGGGUGAAAGGGCCCACUGUCCCUUACUAUGAGAAAGUCAACAGCACUCCAGCUGUGGACCAGGAACUUCAAGAACUACUGGAGGAACUAACGAAAAUUCAGGAGCCUUCUCCAAGUGAGCUAGAUCUUGAGAAGAUACUGGGCAGCAAGCCAGAAGAGCCACUGGUCUUAGACAAUCUACCAGCAACCCUAGGCACCACUCCCAAAAUUUCAGUCCACCACAUGCCACACAUGGAGAGCCUGGGUUCCAGCAAGGAGUUUGCUUCUAGCUGCAGCCAAGUCACUGGUGCGCCCUUUCCAAUCCCGCCCUCCUCCACAGGGGUCAGCUAUUCGAUUCCUUCCAGUCGUAAGCAGAUGGUCUCACCCAGUUCCUCGACAGCGCAGGCCAAGAACCAGGGCCAGGCCAUGCUCCCUGUUAGUCUGCCGCCCCUACCAGCGCCCCAGUGGCAUCAUGCCCACCAGCUGAAGGCGCUGGCAGCCAGCAAGCAGGGAUCUGCUACAAAGCAUCAAGGGUCCUCCCCUACGUGGUCUGGCCUGCCUCCUCCAGGCAUCUCCCCACCUUACCGCCCAGUCCCAACGCCACACCCACCACCGCCUCCACCUCCGCCUGCAUUCAGCCCUCAGAGCCUCAUGGUGUCGUGCAUGGCACCCCACAGCUUGCCGGGUAGCAGCCUGCAAGGCUCUCCCAAUGCCUUACUCUCCAGCAUGGCACCCAACAGCAGUGGUGCCCUGGGGCCUGCCUUGCCCUAUGCUACUGAGAAGCUCCCCAGCACGGCUCUCAGUCAGCAGUCGCAGUUCAGCCCACAGAGCUCCAUUCUCGCCAACCUGGUGUCAUCGACCAUCAAAAGCCCUCAGGGACACCUGAUGUCUGCUCUGCCCACCAACACCCCAGGCCCAUCCCCACCCUAUCGCCCAGAGAAGCUGGCCAGCCCAGGCUUGCCGCAGCAGUCCUUCACGCCACAGUGCUCCCGGAUCCGGAGCCUGACACCCACCAGCCAUCUGCCGAGCCAGCAGCCGCCAGCCAACCCCAUCUUUAAGCCUGUGACCAGCAGCUCAUCCAAAACCCUGAACGUGGGCAUGCAGCAAGGGAUGGUCAGCGCCAGCCCGGCAGCCCCCGAGCCAUUCACUUUCGGCAACACCAAGCCCUUGUCCCACUUUGUCUCUGAGCCAGGCCCCCAGAAGGUACCCCCCAUGCCUGCCACCUCCAGGCAGCCUUCCCUGCUCCACUACCUGCCCCAGACAACAGCAGCACAGGCCUCUGCUGUCACUGCCUCCUCCAGCACCACUGUUACCUUGCAGCCGCAGCCGCAGCCGCAGCCGCCGCCGCCGCCACCUGACUCCUCUCCAUUCCUGCUGCGGCAGGUGGUGCAGCAGCCACAGCGCUUUCGGCGCUCAGUGGCUGCAGACUCCGUGCCUGCUCUGCCCACACAGGGCUGUUCCCAACAGUUUACAUGGACUUCUGCAGCUAGCUCGGUGGAGCACCAGCAUCAACACUGGAACUCUUUCACUAGCAGGCAAGAACCUCAGCCUGGAGACCUGUCAACACCUAACAUUACUCAUGUAGACAAAGCCUGCAAGCUUGGGGAAGCCAGGCCCCCCCAGGUCAGCCUCGGGCGACAGCCCCCAUCCUGCCAGGCCCUGGGGAGUGAGUCCUUCCUGCCCGGCAGCUCCUUUGCUCAUGAGCUGGCCCGAGUCACCUCGUACAGCACCUCAGAGGCAGCGCCCUGGGGCAGCUGGGAUCCGAAGCCCUGGAGGCAGGUGCCUGCUCCACUACUGCCUAGCUGCGAAGCUGCAGGUAAGUCACUUCCCCCUGAGCCUCGCUUUCUUCAUCUGUCAACUGGGGCACAGUCCCCUGCUCAGCCUAUCCGCCUGCCUCACAGAGUUGUUGGGAGGAACAUAGGAGGUGACAGCUCCAAAGGAGGCCCUUUGCAGCCCUCAAAGCUCUGUAUGCCUCUGAGGGGUUUCUAUUGCUUUCUCACCCUGCUUGUUCUCUCCUCUCUCCCGGGCAAUCUUUCAAAAGGGACAGCUAUGUGAGCAAGUGCUCCAGGUGCCUCAGACUCACUUCUGGGGAAACAAGAGGGGGCUUGCCCAGGGUGCGAUUGCUCUCUCCCUCUGCCAUAUGCCUCCCAGCACCCCAUGCCCAUACCUGCCUGUACGGCCAGAUGGGGAGCCCGAGGAGGACAGAGUCUGAGUUUCUGCACUGCUGGGUCCCCUCCCUGUCCACCCCAGUGGCUGUCUGCUUGAUACCUAGUUCAUGCUCAGGAACUGCCUCCCCAGCCAGUGACCUGCCAUGGAUUCUGCACCCCACGCUGUUCUUUGGCCCCACCCAAGACUCCCACAGUCUUAUCGGAAAUUGAAUUGCCACACUGGAGGAUUGGCAAUCCGGGAAGAGAAGGCAGAAGGAGUACAAGGCAAGUCUGUCCAAGAUGCCUGUGAGUUUGGAUCGGGCUCUAGAUCUUACAGUCUGGGAGCAAUGGCUUGACCUGCCCCCAGAGAGUUCCAUUAGUGGUCGAGACGGUAGACAUUAGCCAGAGUGAGCCUUUCAGAGAAUUCCACUUGGACCAUGCAGCGGUUGUUCUGGUGCAUGAAAUAUCAGUGUGCGCAGAAUGCCUGCCCUAUCUGCCGGGAAAACUGGAGAAGUGAGCAUUUUCUAAGUGAUAGUGAUCAGAAGACGGUCAUCAAGCUGGAAAGGCCUCCCAGGAUUAUGGCCUUUAAUGGAAAUUCUGCUUUGGUACGUACUGCCUGCUUCUCUCUGUGCUGCUUGCUCUGGCCUGGAAGAACAAGCAGUGCUUUCUGCCCAAGGGCUAUUGAUUUUGCUCUCUCUCUCUCUCUCUCUCUCUCACAAUCCCAGCACCUCUCCGCUGCGCGCUCUGCAGCCGAAACCAGAGAAAUCGUGUCCAGCACAAUGCUGCCAGGGAAACAGAAUUAGCCAAACAGACAGAGACGGCGUCCACACAGGAUGUCGCUGUUUCCAUCCUGGUCUGCCCUGCCCCGCCCUGUCCUCGGAAACCACAAAUGAGAGGAUCCCAGCUUGCUGGCCUCGAGAGUGCCUCCCCGUUCCCACCUACCUCAUUAGCCAACACCUUUCACCCAGCAGUGAAGGGCAGGUCAGAGGUGCAGGGUGGGGGCACAGCUUUUGUGAGAACCCUGGACAUCGGGCCCCCUGGGGAGCUUUGAGGGACAGGUCACUAAGUGCUCCCUCUGGGCACAGCCACCUUGUCAGGCAGCCAUGAGCCAGUGUGAAACAGAGGAUGCAGGCACCGCAGGGCACAAAGAAAGACAUUUGUUUCCUCUGCCUGGGGAUCAUUCCCAGCAUCUAAACCAAGCCCUUCCGGGACUGCUUGCCCUGGCACCACAAGGCCUAGGAGGAGUCAGAAUAGAGCUUGCACAGUCAAAAGUCAAGGUCUCUGCCAUGGCAUUUAUUUUGUGAAGCCUCCAUGACAGCUUCACACUGAUUCAAACCUAAAGCCAGCACCUGUUUCCAUAGUAGAAGCCCCCAACUCCUGCACCAGGGCUCCAGAGGUGCAGGAAAAGACUCAGGCAGCCAACGUUGCCCAGGUCCGGCCUAACAUCAAGAGUGGCAGGGCAGGUUCCACUCCCCCCUCGCGGCCCCAGCCCUGGCUCGAGGUUUCUGCCCGUGCCUGCCCUCUUGCCAUCCCUUCCGUCUUCAGAACGUGUUCUUCCUUCAUUUAUUUGUUUGUGGUUGUCAGUCUCUGUGUCUACUAUAAGUUCCGGGACAGUACAGACACACAGUGGACCAGGCUCUGUCCCAAUUAUUGUCACAUUCAUGACAAAGAUUUGUCAACUACUCAACAGGGGCGGUGAGUGGGCUGCCACGUAGGCCCAAUCUUCCCACUAGCUCCUUGGGCAGGUAGGGUCCAGAGCCCAGGUCCCCUCUGGCUGCACGCUAGGCAGUCCGCAAGGAAGAGAAGUGGUGUGAUGCACAUUUCCUAGUUUGGCCUCCUCUGCAGGCAUUCUGGAGAAACUGAGUCCCAGGCUCUGAGAGUGAGUGCAAACCUAGGAAACAACUGCAACUCUCCUGCCAGUUACUGUAGGAAACCUUGUAGUUUUGGAAGGCCACUUAGGGAGUUUCGCCGAAGAGCAUCAGCCCCUCGCGGGCUGGGCUUCUGGCAGCAGUGUCCACACUGCCUCCAUCUAUGGGCCGUAGCUACCCAGAGCCUGUAGGUUUCAGGAGCUUCAAACCAAUGGCAUGGGAACCCCCAGAAUUCCCAUCUUGAUUUUAUGGUGGUCUCCACAUGGUACGCCAUCCUCCUAUCAUUUCAUUUCAAAGGAUAAGUCAGAAGAAUGGGUGAGACGUUCCCAAAUCUGGCUUCCAAAAUCUAGCUUCCAAAAUCUAUAAAAGAAGGUGAUUUUCCCUGCGGAGGAAUAAACAAACCCAAUCUGGAGCUCACUAAGCUUUGGGACAGACAUGCAGCCUGUGCUGCAUGACAGGCUGGCCCUGGAUGAGGUAUCCCUAUCCAGCGGGAAAGAAGGCAGGAGUUCCUUGGUGGAGGGCAGGGGGAUAAUCCCCCCACUGUCCUCUCUCUCCCUCUCUCCCUCUCUCCCUCUCUCCCUCUCUCUCCCUCUCUCCCUCUCUCCCUCUCCCUCUUUCCCUCUCUCCCUCUCCCUCUCCCUCUCCCUCUCUCUCUCCCUCUCCUUCUCCCUCUCUCCCUCUCUGCCUCUCUCCCUCUCUCCUCCCUGCUCCUCGACAAACUUUAUGCAAGUGAGGCUUUGGAUGCAUCCCCCGCUGUCUUGCAGAGGCUGUUUCCUUUGAGUCUCCUUCCCACUACAGUGCUGUCCUCCAGGGACUCAUGGGCAGAGUCACUUCAGUCUGCAGCAGGCUCAGCCUUUUGUGGGCAUCAGUCUGAGCCCAGCUAAUCAGCGGCCCUCUGCCUCUGCCCGGUUUCAGAGUCUGUGCCUGAUGAAUGGUUGCAUCAGUCAUGAGGUUCUUCCCCCUCCACCCUUAUGAGGGGACAGCAUGCAGGUGAUUGCAUGGGGUGGACAGGAGACCUCACCAUGUGGUGGCUGAGGGUGAAGCUGAUGUGACCUGGGCCCUGCACUGGGCUCUGCUGUGCCUGCGGGUCUUGGUGGGAUUUGGCAGGCCAGUCCUUUGGCCUCUCUCCUGCCCAACACACAGGAUGAGGCACUGGCCCUUCCGUGAGCCCCCAGACGGGCUGGGGCUUCCUAGUGUCCUGAGCAGCAGCAUGAUGCUUCCAGAAAGCCAGCUCUGGAAGCUCAGAAAGGGGUCUGCUGGGUUUCCAUGCGGGGUGAGACCCAUCUGUGAAAGUGGCCCCUGGGCUGAGUGGGGCCGGCGGUAGGCGAUGUGACAGAACAGCCAGGGCAUUGGUCUUCUGUGAGGCUUCCGUUGGCCCCAGCAGUGCACUCACCAUGGUGGCCACCACGGGGGACGCACACCUGGGCUCCGCGAGGCCCCACCUGUCAGGGCUGCUCAUCGGUGUCACCUGGCACAAUAGGAGCCAGUGCUGUGGCAAUUGCAGUCCUAGAAAAUUGAGUCAUCUGAUGACCUCUUCCAUAAGUUUGCUUCUGAAAACACCCCCCCAUCCCCGGGCCUGGACCCUCCUUUACAACAGGGCAAGAGGCAAGUGUCCUGUCACUAAGCAGAAACUUUCAGCCACAGCUUCCUCCUGGUCACCGAAACCAUUUGUCAUUUCCUGUUUUCUCCACUCUCCACCAAUUCGAAUUGUCAGUGUCAAAAGGCAACAACUGUUUUCUCCAGGCUUAUCUUGGGAGCGCACUGAUUGAGAACAAAGGAUGGGAGCCUCCUCCGCCUGCAAAACAAAGGAAGCAGCCUCCUCAGGAGGCCGGAGAGACUGCCCUGGCUUGUCUGCCAGGGACAACCGGACCGGCUGCAUGCAGAGGACCGGCAGUGCCCCUGGACACCCCUGUGGGGCGAAGGGCCCAUGAAGGGUCCUGGCUGGCUGGCUGGCUGUCCCCCCCCCCGCCCCGCCCCGGGGAUCCUGCAGAGCUGGCCACCAGCGCCACAGGCUGGGUGUCAAGGGCAAUGUUUGGCCUUGGCAGUCUGCACAGUGAUGCCACUGACCAGAUUCUCCCUUAAGCUCUGGAUGCUCUGGAAUGAACGUUUCCUUGGAUGAAGACUUCACCGCACCCCUCAGGCUCUGUAACCCUGCAGUGGCUGCAAAGCGCUCUCUUCAUCUAGCCAGGGCUACUCAGUCCCUCCCCCUCUGAACAGUGCCUUGGCCCAGCCUUUCCUUUUGUCUUCCAGGCCCCUGCGUGGACUUUCUCUGGACCUCCUUCCCCUUGCACUUCUCUGGCCUCCCCAGCUUGUUCUUUGGUCACACUCUCUAGCCUCCAUCUGUCUCUGGUACCCACCACCACAAAACUGUGUUCUUUGAUGACACUAAUGAGACAGCCCAUGAGCAUGGAGUUGGGGUCAGUACAGACCUCGCCAGCCACACAAGAACUGGUCCCAGUCCCCAGAAGUGACCAAGCCCUGGAUCUGCCAUGAGGAGGCAUUGCACUUCCUAGCCAUGUCACUUUGGGCAAGUUGUUUAAUCACUUGGAGCAGCACAUGUCACACCAGUAAGCUGGGCACUGUAGAUCUGCUGCCCUCAUGUCCUCGGGCUGGGGUAAAGGCUCAAGGGAAAGGACAGAGGUGAAAGGGCUGCCUUCAGAUACGGUCCCCACGCUGAGCAUCUCAGAGCUGGAUGCUGUGACCUUGGGCAGUAAUGUGACUCCUGUGCUUCUCUUGAGAGAUGAUGCGAAGUAACGGGCUCAAAAUGCUUGGGACACUGAGCACCCAGUCAGUGCUUAGGAAGGAAGAGGGCAGCUCCGUGGGUCAGCAGAGAAAUGCCCUGCACCCGCACUAUUCACACACCAGCAAGAGGCAGGAGCUACAACAGGAAGCAGGCUAAGAGCAGCAUGGAUGAAAGAGCAAGCCUCAGCCUGGUAAACUGCUUCUGGUGCAGUCUCCGUGGUGCCAGUGUUUGUCCUCUCUGCCGUGGCAGGAACUGAGGCCAGGAACUGCUGCCAGGCCUCAGAGCUGGGCGUGCUCCCAAACGCUGGCCCUCCUGCCGCCCCUCCCACGCCAGCCCGGGGAGCCCUUUGCUGGAGACCAUGGCACAGGCAGCCCACGCUGUACGGUUAAGUCUGGCCAUCUAGAGACACAAGCCAGAGCUGCCUCGGUGCUUGGCACACUGGCAAGCAGGCUUCUUGAGAAGGGGUGAGAGAUGGCAACAGGUGCACAGAGGGGCAGUGCUGCUCCAGCAAUGUUGUGUGAGGCUUUGAGCUCUGGGCUGGGGGUCAGAGCUCCGUCCCAGUGGCAGCCUGGCACAGUUGGCAGAAGAUCUCGGAGUGAGUCUCAUUCUCUGGGCAUUGGGACUUUCACGUGACUCUCCCCCUGGCUAUGUUCUUUCCCUUUGCCCCACGAGAUUGACACUGUGCCAUCUGACUUCACUCCUCCCCCCUCACCCCCAGACCAAGCAGCCAGCUGUGCAACGGAGACAGGAAGCUCCUUCCAGCUGCCCAUGCUGUAAGCCAGCCAGGAGAAGGAGGGAGAGUUGGCUGUCAGUGCAUGUUUGGCUACUGCUGAUGUCAGGGCAUCCACCUGACCUUGUGAUCCUCCAGCCAUUCAGGCCAGGACCACCAGCACAAGCCACAGCAGCUCCGAUCCCCGGAUGGUUCGCCAUGCUUUGUGUACUCCCAUUACUUCCCUCCCUCUAAACAGCCAGUUCAUCUGGCUCUCCCUGAGACUGUCAGGCUCCGUGCUCCAGUCAGCACCAUGGAUAUGGUCUGGUCAGGGCGGGAUAGCGUAGGACUGUCACCUCCCUCCUUCUACACACUCUGCUUCUCUUAAUGCAGCCUAAUGUGACAUUUGUUCUUCUGGUGCCCACAUCUCACUGCUGACGCAUCCUGCGCAGUUGGACAUCCAAAAUGCCUAAAUCUUUUUUUUUUCUAUGUGCUCGUGCUACUAAGCUCUGUCUCUCCUGCCCCAUUCUAUGCUGUUGCAGUUGGUUUUUUUUUUUUAACCCAGGUGCGGAAGCCUACUUUUAUUUAUACCUUUGGAAUUUUGCUCAGGAGGGUGGGGCAUGCAUGCGAGUGUGUGUUGAUGUGUUCACUCAUGCUUCCUGCUACACCAAAGCCAAGUCCUAGGUCCCCACACAGUGAUCUCGAGCUAAUAUGUCUUGGUAGUUGUAAUCUAAUGUGUCCUUUUCAUCUUCUGUUUAGCAAGAGAAACAGAGAUCAGGUCUUAUGGCAAUGACCCCUGAACAGCAAAGUGCAUAUAUCGCCCAACAGAUGAGUCAAUUUCAAGCCGUCCAAGAACAAGUCACCUCCAAGCGUAGCCGAACCAAGGCAAGCCCCACACCUAGCCAGC